UGCCUUAGUAACGGCGAGUGAAGCGGCAAAAGCUCAAAUUUGAAAUCUGGCGUCUUCGACGUCCGAGUUGUAAUUUGAAGAAGGCAACUUUGUAGCUGGUCCUUGUCUAUGUUCCUUGGAACAGGACGUCAUAGAGGGUGAGAAUCCCGUGUGGCGAGGAUCCCAGUUAUUUGUAAAGUGCUUUCGACGAGUCGAGUUGUUUGGGAAUGCAGCUCUAAGUGGGUGGUAAAUUCCAUCUAAAGCUAAAUAUUGGCGAGAGACCGAUAGCGAACAAGUACAGUGAUGGAAAGAUGAAAAGAACUUUGAAAAGAGAGUGAAAAAGUACGUGAAAUUGUUGAAAGGGAAGGGCAUUUGAUCAGACAUGGCGUUUGCUUCGGCUUUCGCUGGGCCAGCAUCAGUUUUAGCGGUUGGAUAAAUCCUCGGGAAUGUGGCUCUGCUUCGGUAGAGUGUUAUAGCCCGUGGGAAUACAGCCAGCUGGGACUGAGGAUUGCGACUUUUGUCAAGGAUGCUGGCGUAAUGGUUAAAUGCCGCCCGUCUUGAAACACGGACCAAGGAGUCUAACGUCUAUGCGAGUGUUUGGGUGUAAAACCCGUACGCGUAAUGAAAGUGAACGUAGGUGAGGGCCCGCAAGGGUGCAUCAUCGACCGAUCCUGAUGUCUUCGGAUGGAUUUGAGUAAGAGCAUAGCUGUUGGGACCCGAAAGAUGGUGAACUAUGCCUGAAUAGGGUGAAGCCAGAGGAAACUCUGGUGGAGGCUCGUAGCGGUUCUGACGUGCAAAUCGAUCGUCGAAUUUGGGUAUAGGGGCG
rnacentral:rRNA from 1 species